rnacentral:tRNA from 1 species
ACUGCCUUAGCUCAGUUGAUAGUGUCAGAGUACAAAUCCGGAGGAUGUGGGUUCAAAUCCCGCAAGCAGUC